rnacentral:sRNA from 1 species
GCCGGACAGAGCAGAAGAACCCUCUAGGACUGGACGAUUUGGGAAUUCAAAACUUGGGACAAACUGUCAGCCUUGCUCCAGCACCAGAGUGGUUCACAUGCAACCCUCCUCCCCGAGUGCAGAGAGCUCCCAGGACUGAUGACUCCUGAAGGAAAACCCUGGAGGUUCAGCUCUAGCUUGAGGUUUCAGGGCUUCUGAGGCGGUCGGGCAGCAUCAGUCUUCAGCUGCUAAGCCAAGAAGAUCUGGGAAGGAGUCAGUCGGAGAGCCUUGGGCCAGAGUUCCAGGGGCUCUGGGAGUGGCUGCCAGAUAGGAGGUGGGCUGAUAGCACAAGCAUUGGAGACCAAAAUCAAGAGCUACCAUACAGUUGGGAAAACUGGCUAGCCAUAUGCAGAAAACUGAAACUGGACCCCUUCCUUACAUCUUAUACAAAAAUUAACUCAAGAUGCAUAAGACUUAAACAUAAGACCUAAAACCAUAAAAACCCUAGAAGAAAACCUAGGCAACAUCAUUAAGGAAAUAGGCAUGGGCAAAGACUUCAUGACUAAAACACCAAAAGCAACGGCAACAAAAGCCAAAAUUGACAAAUGAGAUCUAAUUAAACUAAAGAGCUUCUGCACAGCAAAAGAAACAUCAUCAGAGUGAAUAGGCAACCUACAGAAUGGGAGAAAAUGUUUGCAAUCUAUCCAUGUGACAAAGGGUGAAUAUCCAGAAUCUACAAAGAACUUAAACAAAUUUGCAAGAAAAAAAAAACAACCCCAUAAAAAGUGGGCAAAGCAUAUGAACAGACACUUCUCAAAAGAAGACAUUUAUGUGAGCAACAAACAUAUGAAAAAAAGCUCAUCAUCAGUGGUCAUUAGAGAAAUGCAAAUAAAAACCACAAUGAGAUACCAUCUCAUGCCAGUUAGAAU